GUAUUUAAUUCAGUCCAACAGC
rnacentral:miRNA from 1 species